GGAGAACAGCCCCUGUUCCUCUUCCCUAGCCAGGUUCUCACACGUCCCUGAGGAACUAGAGAGGAACGCCUCUGGGAAGCCCAGCCAGAGCCAACCGGAAGGGCCUUUUGGUGAAGUCUGACAUCCUACAUUAGUUUCUCUGGACCUGGCAGAGCUCCCUGGAUAAAUCAUGAACAGAAGCAUCUAUGACCGACAGUUGCUCUGUGUCCUUCUAGCCUCGCAGGAGUUUCCAGCUCAUGAGGGCAGAGGAGAUGAAGAGAGGCCGAUCGACGUGAGGGUUGUGCAGGCGGCCCCUCUGAGGUGUGACUCCAGUAAGUACUCUGGAAUUACUUGCUGAGAAAGAAAAGUCUGGAUGCCAAGAAAGGUGUGACAUCCUUGCUGGCUUCAAUGUGAAGAGCCACCCUGAUUCUGGGAUUCUGAUAGGAAUAAGGGUAGUGGACUUUUUUUUUAAGUUCUCCAAGCAAAAAUUAUGACCAAAUGUCUCCAUCUGAUGAAGCAGCUGCACUCCUAUGGGGGCGCUGGGCUGUGCGCUUGCCUGGUGUCUUAUGAGUCUGCAUCGUGUGAUAUGAUUGUGUGUGUUUUCGUAUAGGGGAGGCUGUGUGUUUUCUCAGGAGAGAUUUUCCAUUUACACAGCACAAUUGCCAGUCUCCACUUCUAAAAAGUAAAAUCCACCCCUGUUCUACUCUCUCCAUACAUGACUCAUUCACCCGUGCCAGAGCCACCUUUCAUUCCCCUCACUGCUCAGGUGGAGAAUCUGAAGGGCCAAUGGGAGUGGCCCCAGCUUUUGAGCUCCUGAAUGAAAAAGUCAAAACAUGAGCUCAGGUGUGUGGCCCAAUGCUGACAGUCACCUGCUGACAUGCACUUAUGCAUCAGUCACAGGGUGUUCAUCACCAUGCAGGAGUCCAGCAUUCAUGUACAAGCCCUAAAGCACUGAGCCUGAGAGAUCCCAGACUCUGCCCAUCACCAUAAAG
rnacentral:lncRNA from 1 species